UACGGGGGGAGCAAGCGUUGUUCGGAUUUACUGGGCGUAAAGGGCGCGUAGGCGGUCAGCACAAGUCAGUUGUGAAAUCUCCGGGCUUAACUCGGAAAGGUCAACUGAUACUGCUCGACUAGAGUGCGGAAGGGGCAACUGGAAUUCUUGGUGUAGCGGUGAAAUGCGUAGAUAUCAAGAGGAACACCUGCGGCGAAGGCGGGUUGCUGGGCCGACACUGACGCUGAUGCGCGAAAGCUAGGGGAGCGAACGGG
rnacentral:rRNA from 1 species